UUGCACGCUGGCGGCAGGCUUCACCCCUGCCAGUCGCGCGGAGAUGAGGUGCUUGCACCUUAUCUUAGCGGCGGACGGGUGAGUAAUGCUUAGGAAUCUGCCAUUUAGUGGGGGACAACAUUCCGAAAGGAAUGCUAAUACCGCAUACGUCCUACGGGAGAAAGCAGGGGAUCUUCGGACCUUGCGCUAAAUGAUGAGCCUAAGUCGGAUUAGCUAGUUGGUGGGGUAAAGGCCUACCAAGGCGACGAUCUGUAGCGGGUCUGAGAGGAUGAUCCGCCACACUGGGACUGAGACACGGCCCAGACUCCUACGGGAGGCAGCAGUGGGGAAUAUUGGACAAUGGGGGGAACCCUGAUCCAGCCAUGCCGCGUGUGUGAAGAAGGCCUUAUGGUUGUAAAGCACUUUAAGCGAGGAGGAGGCUACUGAGACUAAUACUCUUGGAUAGUGGACGUUACUCGCAGAAUAAGCACCGGCUAACUCUGUG
rnacentral:rRNA from 1 species